GUGUGGGUUAAUUGCCUAGAAAAGAUUUUUCAUAUGUCUUACUCGCCCGUACCGUAAACCGACACAGGUGGGUGAGUGUAAAUGCACUAAGGCGCGCGAGAGAGACCUCUCUAAGGAACUCGGCACAUUAGCCUCGUAACUUCGGGAAAAGAGGUGCUCACUUCGGUGAGCCACAGUAAAUUGCGUUUAGCGACUGUUUAACAAAAACACAGCAUUCUGCUAAGUCGUUAAGACGACGUAUAGGGUGUGACACGUGACCAAUGCGGAAAGAUUAAGGCAUUUUGUUAGCCGCAAGGCGAAGCUCGGUGCCAAAGUCCCCGUGAAUGUCGGCCGUAACUAUAACGGUCCUAAGGUAGCGAAAUUCCUUGUCGGGUAAGUUCCGACCUGCACGAAUCGUGUAACGACUGAACGACUGUCUCGGAGAGGAUCUCGGCGAAACUGUAACUGCGGUGAAGAUGCCGCAUGCCCGCAGUAGGACGGAAAGACCCUAUGCACCUUUACUGUAAGCUGGUAUUGUGUUCUGAUUAAUAAUGCGUAGCGUAGGUGGGAGGCUUUGAAGUGAGUGCUUCGGUGCUCAUGGAGCCGCAAUGUGAAACACCACUCUUUGCUAAUUAGGAUUCUAACCUCGAUUCCUGUCAACCAGGCGAGGGACAGUGCUUGCGGGUCAGUUUGACUGGGGCGGUUUCCUCCCAAAGAGUAACGGAGGAGCGCGAAGCUUGGCUCAGCACGGUUGGCAACCGUGCGUCGAGCGUAUGGGUAUAAGCCAGGUUAACUGUGAGACCUACAAGUCGAGCAGAUGCGAAAGCAGGCCCAAAUGAUCCGAUGGUUUAAUGUGGAAUUGCCAUCGCUCAACGGACAAAAGGUACGCUAGGGAUAACAGGCUGAUCGGUUCCAAGAGUUCACAUCGACGAACCGGUUUGGCACCUCGAUGUCGGCUCAUCGCAUCCUGGGGCUGGAGAAGGUCCCAAGGGUCCGGCUGUUCGCCGGUUAAAGCGGUACGCGAGCUGGGUUCAGAACGUCGUGAGACAGUUCGGUCCUUAUCCACUGUGGGCGCAGGAAUCUUGAGGGGUUCAUUCUCUAGUACGAGAGGACCGAGAAUGACGCACUUCUGGUGUGGCAGUUGUUCCAUCAGGGGCAUCGCUGCGUAGCCAUGUGCGGAAGAGAUAAGCGCUGAAAGCAUCUAAGUGCCAAGCUCAUCCCAAGAUAUGGAUUCCCGGACGCAAGUCCCUAAAGACCCCCGGCAGACUACCGGGUUGAUAGGUCAGGCAUGUAAGCGUCGCGAGAUGUUUAGUGGACUGAUACUAAUUGGUCGUGCGGCUUGAUCGC
rnacentral:rRNA from 1 species